rnacentral:misc_RNA from 1 species
GAUGAGGAACGUAGCGAAAUGCGAUACUUGGUGUGAAUUGCAGAAUCCCGUGAACCAUCGAGUCUUUGAACGCAAGUUGCGCCCGAAGCCAUCAGGUUGAGGGCACGUCUGCCUGGGCGUCACAUAUCGUUGCCCAAUGCCUAUUGCAGUGCAAUAGGAAUUUCUAGGGCGAAUGAUGGCUUCCCGUGAGCGUUGUUGCCUCGCGGUUGGUUGAAAAUCGAGUCCUUGGUAGGGUGUGCCAUGGUAGAUGGUGGUCGAGUUAGAACGAUACCGAUCAUGUGCAUGCUCCCCAAAAUAUGGCCUCUAUGACCCACACGCGUCUUUUGACGCUCAUGACGAGACCUCAGGUCAGGCGGGGCUACCCGCUGAAUUUAAGCAUAUCAAUAAGCGGAGGA